AGUUUAGAACGUCAUUAGCAAGGUUUUCUUUUUCAUGUAAGGCGAAGGUUCGAUCAAAUGGGACCUGUUUAACGCUCUUUUUAACUAACCUUCCACAACUUCUUUAUUUUAACCUAGUACGUCACCAACAAGGUUUUCCCUCCCCAAAAUACCCCCACCCCGGCCUUGGCUCGCCUCCAACGCUGCAAAGAACAACAGCUUAUAAAAACGGUGCAUGAACGAAAAUAAAACCGCGCUGCCUUAAUACGGGGGAGAGCUUAACAGACUUUACAGCUUCACGAGUUGAGGGGAGUAGAGUAGACUAAUCUUUCGGUGUCUCUCAGUCCAUACAAACCGAGAAUAACAAUGAAAAAACACAUGUACACCAGCCAAGGGAUGAAAUAGUAUCGUCAGCUGCCGGUACAAAAAAAAAGACAACACACUGAAAUAGGUGGAAAUGAUACACGCGAGUCGGGAAACGAGAUAAUUCAUGGCCCAGUAAACUUUUAAAACGACUCAAGGGAAUAUAAUAGAUGGCUCCCUUCCGCAGUAACUCUAAUAGAAAUAAUAUAAAUAGGCGGGAAUAAUAUAACAAAAUAAUACAGAAAGAGGAAGAAUGAAGAUAGAAAUAUGAGGGAUAGAAAUGGGAAUAAUAGUAAUAAUGGAAAUAGGAAGUGUAGAAGUAAUAGAAAUAACAGAAAUAUGCGGGAAUAAUAGAAAUAAGAGAGAGGAAGAAAUCAGAUAGAAAUAGGAGUAAUAGAAAUGGGAAUAAUAGAAAUAACAGAAAUAGGCAGAAAAAUAAUAGAAAUAACA